UACGGAGGGUGCAAACGUUGCUCGGAAUCAUUGGGCGUAAAGCGCACGUAGGCGGUCCGUUAAGUCGGGUGUGAAAUCCCUCGGCUCAACCGAGGAAGUGCAUUCGAAACUGGCGGACUUGAGUAUGGAAGAGGGUCGUGGAAUUCCCGGUGUAGAGGUGAAAUUCGUAGAUAUCGGGAGGAACACCAGUGGCGAAGGCGGCGACCUGGGCCAAUACUGACGCUGAGGUGCGAAAGCGUGGGGAGCGAACAGG
rnacentral:rRNA from 1 species